rnacentral:rRNA from 1 species
AGGACGAACGCUGGCGGCGUGCUUAACACAUGCAAGUCGAGCGGUGAAGUCCCUUCGGGGGCGGAUCAGCGGCGAACGGGUGAGUAACACGUGGGCAACCUGCCCCUAGCACUGGGAUAACUCCGGGAAACCGGGGCUAAUACCGGAUACUACCUCCAAGGGCAUCCUAAGAGGUGGAAAGUUCCGGCGGCUAGGGAUGGGCCCGCGGCCUAUCAGCUUGUUGGUGGGGUAAUGGCCCACCAAGGCGACGACGGGUAGCCGGCCUGAGAGGGCGACCGGCCACACUGGGACUGAGACACGGCCCAGACUCCUACGGGAGGCAGCAGUGGGGAAUAUUGCGCAAUGGGCGAAAGCCUGACGCAGCGACGCCGCGUGAGGGAUGAAUGCCUUCGGGUUGUAAACCUCUUUCAGCAGGGACGAAGCGAAAGUGACGGUACCUGCAGAAGAAGCACCGGCUAACUACGUGCCAGCAGCCGC